AAAUUCCUGAAGCAAGAAACUGGUAAAUAGCUUCUUAGUAGGCUAUAGAAGAUAACAUCCUGAAAAAGAAGAGAAUGCAGUCUGGCUUGGAGCUGACUUGAGUGAUUGGGGAGGCAAAUGGUGAAAGUUUGUGGAGCAGAGAUG